CCUCCCUCUAUACCGUUUGUAUCCUACAGGAAGUCACCUGCAGGGAGCGAGGGAAGGAAAGGAGACAAGGAGACAUACGUGAACAGAAUUUAAUGUGGGGCAAUUUAUUUCUUAUAUGGGCACAAAACUUACAGAGCUUUAUCGUGCAACAAGGUCAAAUCUCAAAUGAUUACUCGACUUCUGUCCUUUAUUUUAAGAAAUAAAGGUGCAACAAAUAUGGUUACAAUAACGAUUAUUUUAUUUAUAAGGCACCUUUCAAGCUUAAGCACAAAGUGCUUUCCAGAUUAAAAGAUAUGCAAAAAAAUAGCUUAAAAUGACAUACAUUAGAAAAUGAAUAGGCUUAUGCGCAACACAAUACAUGAAAAAUAAAACACUAAUGCCUCUGUGUGGUAACACAUAUCACAAUAUGUAAGUUAAAAUAUCAAACAAGAAAAGGAAUAGUACACUGUAUUAAAAAAGUGUUAAUAUGCACCAUGCACUUUAUGGGUUUAAUACAGCCUGAGCUUUAGUGAGCAUGACAUCAAAAUGCUUCUGUGUAGGCCGGGAGGCUCACUAUAAAUGUUAGGCCCCUGAAAAAAUCUAGCAAUAUAUCUGCUGUACAUUAUACCCACAUUCAGCUCUGCACCACCUGAACACAUUAUUUAUUUAGAAGCAGGUAAACCUUUCGAUUCAACAUGUGAAAGCACUGGCUGGCUUUGAGAUCAAUUUUGAUCAUUUAACUGACAUUUAAAUUCAUUUAGUACCUUUGAGGAACAUUGUUAUUUUAAAUAAAAGGUUUUAUUUUAUGUCCACAACUGAAAUAUUGUGGUUAUUUCUCAUCUGUUGAGAACUCAACAGGUUAGCACAGCUCUGAGACUCCAAAUCCUGGUACUUUCCAAGGUUAAGGAAUGCGGUAAAAUGGUUUUACUCCUUUGUCAAAGAGUAGGAGAAAAUAUGCAACAAUAUAAGAGGACCACUUUCCUGAUAGUCUACUAGUUCUUGAUACUGAACCAAAGAGACUUUAAUACAUUUUAAUGUUCUAGUCUCUGUUCUCACCCUGUCGUGCACCAAUCUGUCAGGUCAGAACAAGUUCAGCAAGUCUGUCCAACCUUACUACACCCACUGUUACCGUAACUCAGCCUGCAACAAAGGAAUCUGAAAGUAAAUAAUGUAUUAAAGAAUUCAGUGGAACAAAGCGGAUAGUUUCUAAGAAGGUUACAAGCAGUUAACAAGCUGUCACAUCUCACUGCAAAAAUUCUCAAUAUCUUAUUAUUGGUCUUAAUCUAUCUGAAAUCCUGUUAUUCUUUUUGCCUUGCAGAGCAUUAACUUUUUCAGAUAUAUCUCAACAACGGACAAAGUCUUUAUUCAUCUACCAGGCCUUGACCUUCCAUCUGCCAUACUCGUUCCAGCUGUUUCAUCAUCUCCUGUACAGCAGCCUGAAGAGCUCUCGCCAGGUCCUGGCUGCUGUAGGGUUUCCCCAGUGGAGGCACAUGGAUGAAGGCAGAGCGACCGUGCCCCAGGUGCAGAGAGGUGUAGUAGGUGUAGUCACACAGAUACCUGCCAGGGAGCCACAGGAUGGAUGUUAUGUUGUGUAAAGUUUUAAUGAUCACAUUUCUACUUCACCAAACAGACAAGAGAGUAUCAGAAAAUAUGGUAGUGUCCGUGUGAGGGGGAUGACAGCUUUGCACAGCAGUAGGUCCCGCAGACUGGUCAGACAUUUCAAAAUAAGACAUAAAACAAUUGUAAUUAUUUUGCACAUUUGUAACUAUUCAGUGUAAAAAGAGAAAUAUUUUCCAUUAUUAAGUGUAGGUGUAGAUAUUUAUGUCUAGGAGAUGUUGACAAAAAUUUUACUUGAAGUCAAUAAAGAUAUUGUAUAUCUAAUAUAAAAUAAACAAACUUCUAUAUAUUUUGUGCAUAUCAGACUAAACUCCUAGAUGUAUGGUCUUGUGGCCUUAUUGAGAACAGGCAUGAAAAUGGAAGCAAAGCGAUGUUUAGUUAGUAAGUUAGUUAGUAAUAUAUUUUCCUAUAUUCAAAAUGUUAAUAAUGUUGUUAAUGAUAUUAGUAACACUUGUGCUGUUCCUGUGUCAGUGUCUUCAUGUGUGAAUUUCCCUGAGUAAGUAACAUCAUUACCUUCCAGCAUCUUUAGACACAGAAAGAGUGACCCCGAGGCCAGAGUCAUUGACCCUUUUACAGACAGUAUCCAUGUCCAGGACCGAGUGUAUGCAGUCGGGGCCAUUCUCUAUGCAACACCGGGAAGUUGGGCAGAAGCUGCAGUUGUCCGGACGUUUGUAACCGUUGUUGUGGCCGCACUGCUCCAGAGUGACAGUGGUGGCUAACCCAGAAACACCGACAUGGACCACUAACUGCUCGCAGGACCCCAAAAGACAGAGGAGGCAGAGUGAUGGCAAUAGGCUCUGAACAGCCUGGUAUUCAACGGGCACCUCACACACAUGAAGAUCUACUGCUUCACCCAGCCCUAAUCGCUCCAGUUCCUGAAUGGUCAUAGAUUUACAGUAAGGGGAUCAAACAAGAAUCCCAGGAUUGUCUACGCUGGCUGCUGUCUUCUUCUGGCUGAGAGCUGAAAGGAAAUGACACACCAGAUCUGGAUGGAUCACACUGCCAUCUACUGUAUGGGCAUGCAUCCAUACACAGAAACAAAGAGAACUCAUGAAUUUUGUAUUUUUUCACCUUGCACCACAAGACAGUUUUGGAAAGCCGACAGGAGAAAAUGAAAACCGAUCCUUUUAAUCCGAGUGUUUUAAUGCAAUAUGAUGUAAUUCAAGCCACAUGUGUGCUGUAAAUGAAAACUGAGCAUCUGCACUGCAUUUGCAUAUUAAGGGUUAGAGAGGACGUUUUAUAAGUGGGCGGCUAAAGUGAAUUAAAAAAAAUGAGAACUGUUGAGACAGCCCAUUAAUGAACAUGCAACCCCCAACCAGCUGCUGCAGUAGAGCUGCUUUACUGGGCUGCUCCCAGGUGUGAAUGUAUGCACUGUAACAGCGUGAGUGUGACACAGGGCGUUGCUGAACAUACAUGCCCAGUUAGCUUCUCCCAAGAGAGUUAAAGUCAAAGGACAGUUCUCUGGCUGAGGGAGGAGGAAUUGAAAGGUUACACAACCUCUGACACACUCCAUCACCUGAGUUUAGAGGACAAACCCUUUUUUCCCCCCCAGUCUGUUGUUAAGAAGGCAGAGCUAAUCUAAUAUCGCCUUACAGGAACAGCUCCUUUUUUCUUUUUAAAUUCUCGGCGCACUCUGUGGUCCACACCCUUGGGUUGCGAAAUGACUCACACAUUCUGGACACUGCACCCUAUGUGGCCCUGAGCUGGCAUAAUGGAGAUAAUAUGCUCUCCAUAGGGUGGAGAAAGCAGAACCUUUCUCUCAUUCAUGAUAGAGCCUCUGUGCUUAUAGAAUCAACAUUGAAUUCUGCCUCUCAACCACAUCACUCACGCACUGUAACACCUCCUCCGACCACCUACACAACCUGCACUGCAGUCGCUAACAGCCUCCUCUUCUCCCUCAACCCAUUCACCUUUCUCUCUCUCUAACACGCCUGCGUCACUUGCUAUGUCAGUGUUGCCAUGGAAACUAAUGAUGCCCUCUCUGCUCCACGGUGCUGAUGCAGACAGCCUGCUGACGUCCUCACUGUGUAUGGGCGGAAUAACAAUAUUCUACUGUAGUUUCCACCUCCCCUCCACACUCAGUGCCUUAUACUGUAUAAUGGAUGUACACUGCGUUUGUCUCUUUUAAUUUGUAUUCUAUCAUGUUCUGUUCUAUUCAAUAAUUAUAUUAUAUAUAUUAUAUUGUAUACUAUUCUAUAAGGCUCUAUUAUGUUCAAUAAUGUUCCUUUCUAAUCAGUGUCUUCUAUUCCAUUCUACUCUAUUCUAUCAGACAUUUACACAAUACUAGGUAUAUACUUCUGUAUUGAUGUUCUUAGAUUAAAGAGCAUCUAUCAUUCAUAUUAUUGUAUGAAUAUUAAUAAUGUAUUUCUUUAUUUUGAUAAAAACAAAUAAAUAUGUUUAGAUGCCUGAAAUUUGACAGCUUUGUACUUCAUUGUUAUGAUUACUAAAGCUAUGAAAAACAAUCCUAUAUAUACAUAUAAACACGAUGACAACCGCAGCCAUUAAAACCGUGACAUACAA